rnacentral:rRNA from 1 species
ACGCACGCUGGCGGCAGGCCUAACCCCUGCAAGUCGCGCGAGGACUUCGGUCCUAGCGGCGGACGGGUGAGUAACGCGUGGGAACGUGCCCUUUGCUUCGGAAUAGCCCUGGGAAACUGGGAGUAAUACCGGAUGAGCCCUUUGGGGGAAAGAUUUAUCGGCGAAGGAUCGGCCCGCGUUGGAUUAGGUAGUUGGUGGGGUAAUGGCCUACCAAGCCGACGAUCCAUAGCUGGUUUGAGAGGAUGAUCAGCCACACUGGGACUGAGACACGGCCCAGACUCCUACGGGAGGCAGCAGUGGGGAAUCUUAGACAAUGGGGGAAACCCUGAUCUAGCCAUGCCGCGUGAGCGAUGAAGGCCUUAGGGUUGUAAAGCUCUUUCAGCUGGGAAGAUAAUGACGGUACCAGCAGAAGAAGCCCCGGCUAACUCCGUG